rnacentral:rRNA from 1 species
CCCUUAGAUGUUCUGGGCCGCACGCGCGCUACACUGACUGGUGCAACAAGUGUCGCUCCUUGGCCGAUAGGCCUGGGCAAUCUUUGAACGCCAGUCGUGAUGGGGAUAGAUUCUUGCAAUUUUUGAUCUUCAACGAGGAAUUCCUAGUAAACGCGAGUCAUCAACUCGCAUUGAUUACGUCCCUGCCCUUUGUACACACCGCCCGUCGCACCUACCGAUUGAAUGGUCCGGUGAAUAAUUCGGACUGAUGCAAUAUUCAGCUCCUGGACGUUGCGUUGGAAAGUUUAGUGAACCUUAUCACUUAGAGGAAGGAGAAGUCGUAACA